rnacentral:sRNA from 1 species
GGCUUCAACAUCCCCGCCGGUUGGGCGCGGCUUUUCUGGCAGUUGGUUGUAGCAAGAAAAGACGCUCAGUGAAUCGGCUGUAGCC